UACGUAGGGUGCAAGCGUUAAUCGGAAUUACUGGGCGUAAAGCGUGCGCAGGCGGUUGUGCAAGUCCGAUGUGAAAUCCCCGGGCUUAACCUGGGAAUGGCAUUGGUGACUGCACGGCUAGAGUGUGUCAGAGGGGGGUAGAAUUCCACGUGUAGCAGUGAAAUGCGUAGAGAUGUGGAGGAAGACCGAUGGCGAAGGCAGCCCCCUGGGAUAACACUGACGCUCAUGCACGAAAGCGUGGGGAGCAAACAGG
rnacentral:rRNA from 1 species